UACGGAGGGGGCUAGCGUUGUUCGGAAUUACUGGGCGUAAAGCGCGCGUAGGCGGACCUGCAAGUCGGGGGUGAAAUCCUGGAGCUCAACUCCAGAACUGCCUUUGAUACUGGCGACCUUGAGUCCGGGAGAGGUGAGUGGAACUGCGAGUGUAGAGGUGAAAUUCGUAGAUAUUCGCAAGAACACCAGUGGCGAAGGCGGCUCACUGGCCCGGUACUGACGCUGAGGUGCGAAAGCGUGGGGAGCAAACAGG
rnacentral:rRNA from 1 species